GAGAGAGGGAGGGCGGCUGCCGGUGCCGUAGGGCGCUGAGGAAAGUCCCCCCACCCAGGAGCUUAGGCUCCGAUGCGGGCGUCCGCAAGGACGCAGGGCGAGAGCCCUGGCUCUGGCAUAGAAACGACACCGCCCCGUGUUAAUGCAGUGAUUCCGGGAGGAUGAGGUCGCACGGCGGCGGAUGGAACGACCAGCCCCGCAGGGUGCAAGCCUUUGGGCGCUUAGACAAAUGCCGCCGAAACAAAAGGGGGCUUACUCCCCUCACUC
rnacentral:RNase_P_RNA from 1 species